GGAUACAGAGGGGCUUCCCUGGUGGCACAGUGGUUGAGAAUCUGCCUGCCAAUGCAGGGGACAUGGGUUUGAGCCCUGGUCCGGGAAGAUCCCACAUGCUGCGGAGCAACUAAGCCCAUGCAUCACAACUACUGAGCCUGUGCUCU